rnacentral:rRNA from 1 species
GGGGCUAAUACCGGAUGUGGUUUUGAAAUCAUAUGAUUUUAAAAUUAAAGAUGACCUCUUCUUGAAAGUUAUCGUUUAGAGAUGGGCUUGCGGUCCAUUAGCUUGUUGGUGGGGUAACGGCCUACCAAGGCUACGAUGGAUAGCCGACCUGAGAGGGUGAUCGGCCACAUUGGGACUGAGAUACGGCCCAGACUCCUACGGGAGGCAGCAGUAGGGAAUUUUGCGCAAUGGACGAAAGUCUGACGCAGCAACUCCGCGUGAGGGAUGAAUGCCUUCGGGUUGUAAACCUCUGUUGAGUGGGAAGAAAAAUCUAUGUGCUAAUAUCAUAUAGACAUGACGGUACCAUUCGAGGAAGCUCCGGCUAACUACGUGCCAGCAGCCGCGGUAAUACGUAGGGAGCUAGCGUUGUUCGGAAUUACUGGGCGUAAAGGGAGCGCAGGCGGGAAAGUAAGUUAGAAGUGAAAUGUACCGGCUCAACCGGUGAUCUGCUUUUAAUACUGCUUUUCUUGAGUAUGGGAGAGGAAGAUGGAAUUCCAGGUGUAGCGGUGGAAUGCGUAGAUAUCUGGAAGAACACCAGUUGCGAAGGCGGUCUUCUGGCCCAAUACUGACGCUGAGGCUCGGAAGCUAGGGGAGCGAACAGGAUUAGAUACCCUGGUAGUCCUAGCCGUAAACGAUGGACACUAGAUGCUGGAAGCAUUAAGCUUUCGGUGUCGAAGCUAACGCAUUAAGUGUCCCGCCUGGGGAGUACGCUCGCAAGGGUGAAACUCAAAGGAAUUGACGGGGGCCCGCACAAGCGGUGGAGCAUGUGCUUUAAUUCGAUGCAACGCGAAGAACCUUACCUGGUCUUGACAUGGGAGUGAAAGCUUUUAGAGAUAAGAGCCUUUCCUUCGGGAACUCUCCACACAGGUGCUGCAUGGUUGUCGUCAGCUCGUGUCGUGAGAUGUUGGGUUAAGUCCCGCAACGAGCGCAACCCCUGUCCUUAGUUGCCAUCAGGUCAAGCUGGGAACUCUAAGGAGACUGCCUGGAUUAACCAGGAGGAAGGUGGGGAUGACGUCAAAUCCUCAUGGCCCUUACGACCGGGGCUA